rnacentral:rRNA from 1 species
UAGGGAAUAUUGGACAAUGGGGGCAACCCUGAUCCAGCCAUGCCGCGUGAGUGAAGAAGGCCCUCGGGUUGUAAAGCUCUUUUGUCCGGAAAGAAAAGCAUUCGGUGAAUGCCCGGAUGUUCUGACGGUACCGGAAGAAUAAGCCACGGCUAACUUCGUGCCAGCAGCCGCGGUAAUACGAAGGGUGCAAGCGUUACUCGGAAUUACUGGGCGUAAAGCGUGCGUAGGUGGUUGUUUAAGUCUGAUGUGAAAGCCCUGGGCUCAACCUGGGAAUGGCAUUGGAAACUGGGCAGCUAGAGUGCGGUAGAGGGUAGUGGAAUUCCCGGUGUAGCAGUGAAAUGCGUAGAGAUCGGGAGGAACAUCUGUGGCGAAGGCGACUGCCUGGACCAGCACUGACACUGAGGCACGAAAGCGUGGGGAGCAAACA